UACAGAGGUCCCGAGCGUUGUUCGGAUUCAUUGGGCGUAAAGGGUGCGUCGGUGGCGCCGUAAGUGGGGUGUGAAAUCCCGGGGCUUAACCCCGAGACUGCAUUCCAUACUGCGGUGCUUGAGGACUGGAGAGGAGACUGGAAUUUACGGUGUAGCAGUGAAAUGCGUAGAGAUCGUAAGGAAGACCAGUGGCGAAGGCGGGUCUCUGGACAGUUCCUGACACUGAGGCACGAAGGCCAGGGGAGCAAACGGG
rnacentral:rRNA from 1 species